UUUGAAGGGGUAGAUUAAAUGUCGUAAAGCUUUAUUGCAAAAAAGGUUAAUACCUUUUGUAUUCCUUCAGGUAUUUAUAUCAUCUACUUGUUAAAUGACAAAUGGUUUAUCUGAGUAACAAUUGUUUUCCUUUUUGACGGAUGCUAAUCGUUUAAAUUGUGUGAAGCAAAGGAAGUACAAGUGAGAUUGUUUGUACGUCUUGUAUUUAAAUAUAAUGAUCAUAUACAAUAUGCAGAUUUACAUAAAUUAUGGAAGACACGGAUUUUCGCCUUACUUCGUAAAAUCACAUAAACAUUAAGUGUUAGUUAAUGUUCUUUUUUCUUCAAAAAAGUUCCUAACUAUACUUACUAUACUUUAUUUAACAUACGAUCGUAAUACCUACAUACGGGCAUGCGAUAUGUAAAGUUAUUCCGAUAAUUUACUUACGAGUUCGUUGUAAACACAAAUGACGAAACAAUCAGUCGAUAGUCAAUAUAAUUGCAUACGAAGGAGAGUCAGAAAUUAAACAAGAUCUACAACAACCAACAGUCUAAUUUUAAACUAGGAA